rnacentral:lncRNA from 1 species
UCUAUGAGAACAAAGGGGAUGGAUUUCAGAAACGUUUCUAAAUCAUAAAUGACUGAACCAGAAGAACUGAAGCUGAUGUCAGAUUUCUCGCUUGGGUGAUGAGGAACAAGGCAGGAAGAGCAGCAAUGAGGAUAGAGGUGGAAGGGCAGCUCAGGAAUUUCCCUGGAGUUUUCCCAUCUUGAGACUUCGGUCUUGGAAGACAGAAUGGCUGUGACAUAAUGUGGACUUUUUACUUCCACCUCUAGGAAAGCGUUCUUUGGAACACCUUUGCUGAGUCUCUCUCUCCUCCGCUCAAGGAGGAAGAAGGCAUUUUCACACAAGGCUGGCCAGAUGGGAAGAAUCUUCAGCUUCAGCUUCAGCUUGGCCUCAUUCAUUUGAAAAUAAAAUGUUUACAUGAGGCCGCGCCUGUGUCCAGCUGAAAGUGGGUCCUUCAGAGCGUGUGGGGGAUUCUCUGCCGGCUUGAUGGGCUAGCUCCUCUAAGCCGGCUGCUGGAGACAUCACCGGCUGAGGGACUCCUGCAAACGUUCAUACAUGAUUUGAUCCUGAAAGGAGGGAGAACACAGAAUACAGAGACCGUCACUGCUUGUUUUGGGCUGAAUGGUGCCCCCCAAAAUUCACAUGCUGCAGUCCGCACCCGCAGGACCUCAGAAUGUGAUUGUAACUGGAGAGAGGGUCUUUAUAGAGGAGACUGGAUUAAAAUGAGGUCAUACAGGUAGACUCUUAUCCAAUAUGACUGCUCUCCUUACAAAAAGAGGGGAUUAGGGCACAGGAGGGAAGAGCAUGUGCGCAGAGGGAAAAGCACAUGCAGGCGCUGGGAGAAGACAGCCAUCAGUGAGGACAAAGGCUCCAGAAGAACCAAUCCUGCCCAACACUCUCCAGAACUGGUAUUGCUCUGUCGCCCAGGCAGGAGUGAGUGGAACAACCACAACAGACUUGACCUCCUCGGCACAAGAGAUCCUUCUACCUCAGCCUCCCGAGGAGCUGGAACUACAUGCCACCAUGC